GACGAACGCUGGCGGCGUGCUUAACACAUGCAAGUCGAACGGAAAGGCCCUGCUUUUGUGGGGUGCUCGAGUGGCGAACGGGUGAGUAACACGUGAGUAACCUGCCCUUGACUUUGGGAUAACUUCAGGAAACUGGGGCUAAUACCGGAUAGGAGCUCCUGCUGCAUGGUGGGGGUUGGAAAGUUUCGGCGGUUGGGGAUGGACUCGGGGCUUAUCAGCUUGUUGGUGGGGUAGUGGCUUACCAAGGCUUUGACGGGUAGCCGGCCUGAGAGGGUGACCGGCCACAUUGGGACUGAGAUACGGCCCAGACUCCUACGGGGGGCAGCAGUGGGGAAUAUUGCACAAUGGGCGGAAGCCUGAUGCAGCAACGCCGCGUGCGGGAUGACGGCCUUCGGGUUGUAAACCGCUUUCGCCUGUGACGAAGCGUGAGUGACGGUAAUGGGUAAAGAAGCACCGGCUAACUACGUG
rnacentral:rRNA from 1 species